AGCUCCAAACUAGUCACUCAGCACUGACUAAGGGCUGGGCCAGAGCCUGGGGCUCUGGACAGUGCUGGGCUGGCCUCCCUGCCUCCCAAGGCACACAGUGCAGAGAGCAGGAGCGCCAGGCGAUCAGCACAACACGGUGUGAAGGGGUAUGAAGAGGACCCUGCCGAUUCAUGGUGACAACAACUGACCGCACAUCAGAAGACGUGCCCCCACCCCCAGGAAGACCGAGGCACAUGGCUACUCACAGGAGGCCUCACGCCCUCCCUGUGCCGCUCACCCAGCCUCCAGCUCCGGCAUCUAUCUUCUAGCAUCUAGCUCCCACAACGUCCUCUCCAGGACACAAUACACUUAAUUGUCAUGUCCCUUGAGGUUCCUCUUGGAUGUGGCAGUUUCUCGGACUUACCUUGUUUAUGAUGAUCUGGACAAUUUUGAGGAGUUCCAGUCAGGAGACAAAUCUGUUAGAGAAAGCACAGGAAACGACUCUUUCCAUACAUGAGGAUUAUACUGGUGGUGGUUGGAGGUGUAUCAUAGUCUUCUGGUGGGGAAGCAAGCUGCCAUGUCAGAAAACAGCCCCAAGAUCCUCACAAGAUGACCGACUAAGUAAGGUUUGCAAAACACCAUUAAGUGACCUUGGAAGUGGGUCCCUCUCAACUGAGUCUUCACAUGAGAACACAGUCCCUGGAAGACAGCUGCAACCUCACAAGAGAACUUGAGCCAGAGGCACUUGGCUAAGCCAUGCUCAAAAUUCUGACCCACAGGAACUUAGAAAUAUGAGUUCCCAGGCGAUGCUGAUGCUGCUGGUCCAGCAACAACACUUCGAGAACCACUGGAUUAGAUGAUGACUGAGUAGAGUGAGCCUGUGCUAAACUAAUCUCAUCCUCACAGACUAUGAAGUAAGUACAUAGUCUCAUUUUACAGAUGAAGAAAUGAAGGCUCAACCAGAGUAAGAGCUUUCUGUUAGUCAGGAUGUCAUUAUCAUGCUGAUUAAAGGAAGU